rnacentral:rRNA from 1 species
GUAGGGAAUCUUCCACAAUGGGCGCAAGCCUGAUGGAGCAACACCGCGUGAGUGAAGAAGGGUUUCGGCUCGUAAAGCUCUGUUGUUAGAGAAGAACGUGCGUGAGAGCAACUGUUCACGCAGUGACGGUAUCUAACCAGAAAGUCACGGCUAACUACGUGCCAGCAGCCGCGGUAAUACGUAGGUGGCAAGCGUUAUCCGGAUUUAUUGGGCGUAAAGCGAGCGCAGGCGGUUUGAUAAGUCUGAUGUGAAAGCCUUUGGCUUAACCAAAGAAGUGCAUCGGAAACUGUCAGACUUGAGUGCAGAAGAGGACAGUGGAACUCCAUGUGUAGCGGUGGAAUGCGUAGAUAUAUGGAAGAACACCAGUGGCGAAGGCGGCUGUCUGGUCUGCAACUGACGCUGAGGCUCGAAAGCAUGGGUAGCGAACAGGAUUAGAAACCCUAGUAGUCC